rnacentral:lncRNA from 7 species
CUGGUGUGACAGUUGGGUGAGAGAGGCAAAUGUAGCAGGCUGCAGUGGCUAAAGAACAGCAUCGUGUGUGCCUGUGCUUGGCAAACAGCACAUACUAUGCUGCUAAGGCACUUUUUAUUUUAAACCAUUUUGCUGCUCUCAUGUUCUUCACAUCCUCACGCAGUAACUACAGCCAGAGAUGUCCUUCAGCAUGGGUGCUAUGGGAACCCGACUGAUCCCGUGCCGUGACUGAGCUAACAAAGCCUAAACCCGAGAUUUCAAAGAAUUUCACAGGCAGAGUGAAUCAAAGGUUGGUGGGAGGGAAGCCCUGAAAAUCCCAAAAUAAACUGCAAGAACAGCCCACAGCUGCAGAAUUCCAGAGGUUCGGAUUCCUUUAUCAGCUGCCAGCCUUGUGAAACACAUCUACAAUCAAAUCUGUUUGAAAGCUGAGAGCAAAGCACACUCCUGGGAGUAAACCCAAACCUGUCUCUAACUCAAUGCCUCUGCUGACAGUUUGGCUUGCCAAGAGGUCUGGUAAAUACUAAAAAAACCCCAUUCAUAAUGAGAUAAACAACCUUGGGAUUUUUUGUUCCCUUUUUUUCAAACUUUGCUCCAUCCUAAAAUUCAUAGUGACAAAGAACUGACUUCUCCAAUCCAGAUAAUAUCCCAAAGCAAUUUUCCGACAACAAACAGAAAUUUGUGGCUGCUGCUUAAAGGUUUGCAAUCUUCAUACUAAGGAGGCAACCACAUGUCAAAUGUUUACCUUAAUUCCAUGUAAAUAUCACCUCAUAUUGGACAUUCUGCAUUUCUCUGUCUGCAUCUGCAUCUGCUUUCAUCUUCACACCUAUUGCUGUCAGAUGAAUUCCUCAAACAACUGCUUGUGAUGAAUUUAACAUCUAAUUGCUGUAAACUAAUAAAGUGAAUAUGAGUCCUAUGACCCUAACCACAAAGAAAUGGUGGAGACAAUAAAUGAGUGGAAGAAAUGCAUCAGAAGUUCACUCUGGGGAAGAAAAAAUGGGCACCCACUAAACCAAAAGAUACUGCAUAUGGUGAGGCUUGGAGCUGCAGAAGGUGAAGGGCACUGAGCAUCAGCUGCAGAAAGUCCUACCCAAGCACUUCUGUGGACCAACGGAGACGCUAAACUGGAUGAACAAUGAGGGGCUGCUGAGGAAUGAAAAGGAGCUGUGCUCUGAUUCUUGUUGAGAUAAUGCCAAACUGCUCAUAGGGACUAUUUGUGUUUCUUUUUUAAUUUCCUCUCUUUCACAAAAAAUAAGACAGAAGAAACCUGGUGGCCUGAAGCAGAAAUGAACACUAUUUGGUUAGAUUCUCAGGGAGCCUGCUAUGUCUUCAAGCUAAUAAUCUCCAUAUAAAGUUGUGGUUCAUUGGAAAGGCAAUAAAUAGCAUGGGAUUAUGUUUUUCAUCUUUCCACCACUUAAGUUUUUCAGCCUCUGCUUCAAACAUCAUCCUUGGGAGUGGCUUUUUUUCCCCACUAUGUAUUAAUUAGUGUAUGGGACAGACAGAGAAAUUAGGUAACCCUUUCCACAAGUGUAGAAAUUACUCAAGAACAUGUUUCUGAUUAAAGCUCAUAACACACCAAUCUCACUUGUAAAGAGUUGAAUAAAUAAAUUAACACUAUAUG